UACGAAGGGGGCUAGCGUUGUUCGGAAUUACUGGGCGUAAAGGGCGCGUAGGCGGUGUGUCAAGUCAGGCGUGAAAGCCCCGGGCUCAACCUGGGAACCGCGCUUGAGACUGGCACGCUCGAGUUCGGGAGAGGAUGGUGGAAUUCCCAGUGUAGAGGUGAAAUUCGUAGAUAUUGGGAAGAACACCGAUGGCGAAGGCAGCCAUCUGGACCGACACUGACGCUGAGGCGCGGAA
rnacentral:rRNA from 1 species